AGGUAGUAGUGAGGUUACUGGGCAAUGAGAAAUUAAUGUUAGAAACAGCAGUAUACGAUGCUGGCUAAGAAAUCUCAUCUCAAGAAUCAUUCAGUGACUCAAAUUUUCCUCUUCCGGACUUGUGCUCAUGGGAAGAGGCUCAGCUUUCCUCUCAGCUCUACAGAAAUAAGCAGCUGCAAGACACCCUGGUGCAGAAGGAAGAAGAACUCGCUAGGUUACACGAAGAGAAUAAUCACCUCAGACAAUACCUGAAUUCUGCUUUGGUUAAAUGUCUUGAAGAAAAGGCCAAGAAAUUGCUCUCAUCUGAUGAGUUCUCCAAAGCAUAUGGAAAAUUCAGGAAGGGGAAGAGAAAAUCCAAAGAGCAAAGAUACUCUCCUGCUGAGAUUCCCCAUCCCAAAAAUGCCAAAAGAAACCUCUCUAAUGAAUUUGCUAACUGUGAAGAACAAGCUGGGCCCCCUGUGGAUCCCUGGGUCCUUCAAACACUUGGGUUAAAAGACCUUGACACUAUCGAUGACACCUUAUCAGCUAACUACAGUGCCCUCGCAUCUCAUCCCAGAAGAGU
rnacentral:sRNA from 1 species